rnacentral:snRNA from 1 species
UUUUAAUGUUGACUAUCUUAA